AGAGCUGCGGAGCGCCGGAGGGAGAAAGGGGAGGAGAAGCAGGAAAACCCCUGUCAAGGAGGUGGAGCGAGGGGAUGGUGUCCGCCUCCUGUUCCUCCCUGCCGUUUUUUAGAGAAGCCUGAACCGGGACAAAACACGCCGAGACCUACAGACACAAAGCCGGGGGGUCCACGCUGGCGCUGGAGGCGAACCCCGGCGGCCGCAAGCGAGCCCGAGGCGCGGCGGGGCGCGGGGCGUGGGGACGCUAGCGGGCGCGGGACGGGCGCGGCGCCCCGGCACGGGCAGCGCCCCAAACCGGGGCCGGACACCUCGGCCGCUCGGGCCGCGGCGGCGGGGACCAUGCCGAGGAAAGUCUCCUGAGCCUGGCAACUUCGGCCUCUCCCCGCCCCCACCCGGCUGCCCUCCGCGCGGCCCUCCCCAUGUGCAGUCGGCCAGCCGGGCUCUCCUCCUCACGGCGGAUGGGUGACCUUUUCCUGGCACGGGCAGGCUGUGCGAGGCGGCGGAGCAGGCGAUGAAGAAGAAGCAGCAGCAUCCCGGCGGCGGCGCGGAUCCCUGGCCCCAUGGGGCCCCUUUGGGGGGCACCCCUCCGGGCCUGGGCAGCUGGAAGCGCCGGGUGUCCCUGCUGCCUUUCCUGCGCUUCUCCCUCCGGGACUACGGCUUCUGCAUGGCCACCCUGCUGGUCUUCUGCCUGGGCUCCCUCCUCUAUCAGCUCAGCGGGGGACCCCCUCGCUUCCUGCUCGACCUGCGGCAGUAUUUGGGAAAUUCCACUUACUUGGAUGACCAUGGACCACCUCCUAGUAAGGUACUACCUUUCCCAAGCCAGGUGGUGUACAACAGAGUAGGCAAGUGUGGGAGCCGUACUGUGGUCUUGCUUCUGAGAAUCUUGUCGGAGAAGCACGGAUUUAAUUUGGUCACAUCAGACAUUCACAACAAAACCAGGCUUACUAAAAAUGAACAAAUGGAACUGAUUAAAAAUAUAAGUACUGCCGAACAACCCUAUUUAUUCACUCGACAUGUUCAUUUCCUCAACUUCUCAAGGUUUGGAGGAGACCAGCCUGUCUACAUCAACAUCAUUAGAGACCCCGUCAACCGGUUCUUAUCUAACUAUUUUUUCCGUCGCUUUGGAGACUGGAGAGGGGAACAAAAUCACAUGAUCCGCACCCCCAGCAUGAGGCAGGAGGAGCGCUACCUGGAUAUCAAUGAGUGUAUUCUUGAAAACUAUCCCGAGUGUUCCAACCCCAGGUUAUUUUACAUCAUUCCGUACUUUUGUGGACAGCAUCCCAGAUGCAGGGAGCCUGGUGAAUGGGCCCUUGAGAGAGCAAAGCUGAACGUGAAUGAAAACUUCCUGCUCGUGGGGAUUCUUGAAGAGUUGGAAGAUGUGCUGCUGUUACUGGAAAGAUUUUUACCUCAUUACUUCAAGGGCGUGCUCAGUAUCUACAAAGACCCAGAGCACAGGAAGCUUGGAAACAUGACUGUGACGGUGAAGAAGACUGUCCCCUCUCCUGAGGCUGUGCAGAUCCUCUACCAGCGGAUGAGAUAUGAGUAUGAGUUUUACCACUACGUCAAAGAGCAGUUCCACCUGCUGAAGCGCAAGUUUGGACUUAAGUCUCACGUCAGCAAGCACCCCCUGAGGCCACACUUCUUUGUCCCAACUCCACUGGAAACCGAGGAGCCAAUCGACGAUGAAGAACAGGAUGAUGAAAAGUGGCUGGAAGAUAUUUAUAAGAGGCCCUGCCAUGUGCCAAGAUCCAUGCUAGAAGAGGAAGAUUUAGCAGUUACCAAGACAAAGUCUCUGACCUCAAGAAGCUAACAUUCUAGGGGAGAAAGAGAUUAAGGAAAACCAAGACCUUUGACUAAGAAUAAUUGCACCUGUACUAAUAAUCAGAGUAGCCAUGUAUGGCCUCUUUCUGACGCAGCAGCCAGGAAAACGUACCCAACACCAUCCUGCGUUAAAAUUGCCUCACUUGAAUUUUAACAAAUCUGCAUCAUGGAAAGAAGGAACACGUACAUGAUGUAACUCAUGGAGCAUGUUCCACUUCUUGCUAAGAUGUUUUUCUCUGUUCUCUGCAUCCAUAUAUUCCUAAGUAUGAAAACGGAUUCAAGGAGUGAAAAGGAGACUACAAAGCAAAGUAAGUUUGAUCAGAAAUGAUGUUUCAACUCAUUAAGGCAGGCUUUGGGGAACCAGGGGAUGGAAGAGUGGAGAAGAAUAUGGGCUUUGUAGUAACACAGUUCAAAUAUCAACCCUGCCACCUAUUAACGAGGGCAGAUUACUUCAGGUUCCUCAGACCUAGGAUCUGUCUUCUGUGAAAGAGGCAUAUGUGCUUUACAGAACAAGAAAGAUCUAGAUGAGCAGAGAUUUAUGGAAUUUACUUUUCCAGUUUUGGUAGCAUUCCAAAGCUUGAGGAGAAAACGUGCAGCAAGCUUUUCUUCAUUGGGACUAGAUUGUAUUUGCCCAAAGAAGGAAGACAGAUCCAAUAAACCAGGCCAAGAUACUUGCAGAUACCCCAGGCCUAGCGUGAAACUGUGGCUGGUGCUACUGCCCCUCUGCAGUAGCUCUGAAAUGUGCCUGGUCUCCUCCAUCCUUGAUAGGAGGUUUGCCUUUCCCAUCGCCUUGAUGCUGCUCCUGGCUUUCUCAUUUCUCUCUUCUUGGGCAUGACUACCUCUCUUCCUUUGUCCAUGCAUUCAUGGUAUAUUGAUCAUCAGCAGUAGUAAAGUCUGCCUGUUUCUUUGAAUGAGAGGUUCCUCCAGCCACAGGUCCACAUCACUGCCAGCAAAAGGCCCUCUAAGUGGUCAUGACUUGGAGUCCUUGGGGUUUGGAUGGAGGAGAGUGGGAGGUAUGAAAAAGCCAAGUGAAACCUUGAUGAUUUCCUUUCAAAGAAAGUAGGCUGGUGCCCAGGGGAGGUCCAAAGAAAGGAAUGCUGAAUUCGCUAAUUCUGAAAAGAAUGACUAAGCUUUAACCUUUAGCACAUUACAGCCUGCAAGUGACAUUUCCCAUAAAACCUCCAGCAGCUAAACCUGACACACUAUUCGAAUAAUUUAAUUAAAUAAGAAAGGAAAAAAGGAAGAAAAUGCCUAUAGAGGUUUUCAAGAACUUGAAGUGUGACACCUAUGCAGGAGUUAAAAGUUGUCUUUCAACAGCAUUAUAGCUUGGUAAGCAAUGGAGAACCCAACUAAUCAUUAAUAAGUGGUUUUGUUAGAAUUUUUGUUAAACUAAAGAUAAAUACACUAUGUUUAGCUACUGGGGUAAUCUAAACUAGUCUGUGAAAGAAAAGGUUAACUGAAAUUGGGAUGCCUGCAAAUCAUCUAGAAUUUUAGUGGAUCUUAUUUUUUAAAAACAUCAUCACAGAUUUAUGUGUAGAGGGAAGUGGUAAGUGAAACAGAAAAUCAGUAAUUAGAUUACAGAGCUUCCAGAGGUUAAAAAAUACUUUCCAAGUUAUACACAGAACAAUCCUCUGCAAUUAUGCUGAUUACAUGGCAAGUAAAUACCUGUGUAUUCUGACUUCAGCAACUACAGUAUUACUGUCUACUAGUGGGAGGAAAGCACACUUCUGAAGGUCACUGAGCAUUUGAUGACUAGAAAUCUAGAUAUCCUUGAUAGUUAAACAGCAACAUACUAAAGAUGAAAAACACUAUCUCUUUCAUCUAAUUUUUUUCAGGUCAGCUCACUCAAUCUUUUCAUGUAAUUUUUGAGCAUGAUCUCCUUCUCUUGGAAGGAGAUCAAGAUUCCAGUAAUGUAACUACCAUGGGGCCGGUGUGCAGACUCAGGGCUCUGAUUCAAGGAAUCUGAAACAAACCCUCGUACUACCCAGAACUCAGGAAGUCUAAUUCUUAGCCUGAAAAAUGACCUGAAGUUACAUAUUUCUCCCCUUUGAGUAACAGCUAAAUCCACUCACUCAAUGGACAAGCAUUUCGUGUGUGGGUGUGUGUGUGUGUGUGAAGUAUAUAAUUUUUAUAAUUUUAAAUAACAUUUUAGAUAGAUAGACAUCCUCAAGCAAGAACCUAAGUGUUUUUUUGGGCUUCAUCUAUCAUACUAGUUGCUAAGAGAUUUUAAAGGAAGUUGAACAUUAACUCUACAGAUACCAGGUUAGAUACAUCUUCAUAAGCUGAGGAAUAAUUGGGAUCACAGGAAUCAAACAAAUCCACACACUGAAAAUCACAGUCACUAUAUAAAGAAAAGGAAGCUGCAUAGGAAAGCUUCUGGUACUGAGGUUGAGAUCAUACUGCAAUGGAAAUUAUUUGAAUUCUAAGCCAACAUAAGAAAAAAAGAAUUUAUUCUAAAAUUUAUUGAACAAGUUUGGAGCAAGCAUCAAUGACCAUAUGCUUGGAAAUGCUGCAUGGGAUGAUAAAGGUUUAUUAUUGUUCUCAGACAGGUCCAGUGUAGUUCACAAUGGUGGACACCAGCUGUCUGUUGAUGUGUAUACUUUGUAUAGAAAACAUUCAAGGUCACAGUGGCUGGUGCCCUGAGUAGAGAUAGUGCUUUCCAGUGUUAAGGAGGCUUAAAGCACGAUGGGAUAGAUCUGUGUGGUUUUCCCUCCAUGCACAAAGCAGAAAGAAGUCUGCUCCUGUCCUAUCUCCCCACACAUCUCCCCCACCACUACCCCUACAUACACAUUCUUUCCCAGCAGCCUGCACCUUCAGAAAGGGGAAAUUCUCAUCACACAUUCAACUCUUAAAGAAGCAUAAGGAAAUGACCAGUCUUAAGGACCCUCCAGGGACACUGUUUCUCCUGUCCUUCCCUUUACUGCUGUGUCUACUCUCUUCAGCCAAAGGGUGUCAUGGAAAAAAAGAGAAGGGGCACCCAAGCCAGACUCUCAGUUAUUAAAGAGGCACCAAUCAUUGAGACUGUAAGAACUAAGCCAAUACAAUGACCAUUCAAGUAAGAUCUUAGGAUUUCUGGUGACUGUAUACUCAGCUAUAUGCUGUUUAACUGAGGAUCUCAAUGAUCCAGGUGUGUUUGUCCAUGUUCAGAGUGAAGAGGCUGCGGGUUACAGAUAAUGAAUCCCCAUUGAUCCAAAGUUAUUGUGGAUAAAAGCAUUCUAGCUAAUUGUCUAUUCAUCCUAAUAGCUAUUUACUCAGUUCUAUUAAUAUUGCCCUCAGAGUUUGCAUUCAUGUCUGGUUCCCCCAGCUACCCUGUGAACUUCUGCAGGGCUUAUUCCUUCAUUCACCUACCAGUGGCUACUCAGAACUUCACAUUUGGAGACAUUCCAAAAAUGUGUAUUACCUCCCACAGCUUCUUGCCUUGAGGCCCUCCUCCUUCUGGUAAGCCUAAGAUGCCAUUUUGAGAAUUUAACACUGUGCUAUUCCCCACCCUUGGUUUGAGUUCAGGCUGACAUGAGCUGCUGCCCAGCCAAGGACAGACAGGGAAACCAGGCUAUUUUAUGCACAUCCAGGACAAUACUCACUGCCCUGCAGUGGGCUGCUAUGAAACUGAGAUGUGAGUAGAUCGCACUCCCCACAGCUUCUGGCCUAUGCUGCUUGCCUGGGAUGGAUACCAUCCUCCCUGGUCCCAAGCCCAAGACACUAUUUUGAGACAUUAAUGCUGGGCUUGAGACUUUUGGGCUGAGCUUGGGCUAACAUGGCUGCAGCCACCACCUGGCCAAGGAGGGACAGGAAAACCAGGUUCCCCUAUGCAUGCCUAAAACAAUAUCUACCACUCUGCUAUGGGCUGCUAUGAAACUCAGACUUGAAUGGGCUGCACUCCCCAUAGCUUCUUGCACACACUGCUUGCCUUAGCGGGCCCUCAUAUUCUCUUGUCACAAGCCCACAGCUAGCACCAUUUUUAGAGUUUAACCCCGGGCUAUGUCCCACCCUCAGACCAAGCAGAGGUGAUGUGGCUGCAGCUGCCACCCAGCCAGGGAAGGGACAGGGGAGACAAAGCUCCCUUAAGCACACUUAGGACAAGACCCACUACCCUUCUACAGGCAUCGUGGGGUGGAGGACUGGCUCAUCCAACCCAUUGCAGCUUCUAGCAAUACCUACUUGAACUGCUUGGGUCCUAGUGGGUUGCUCCACCACUGCUACUGCCAUCACCCACAUGACACCAGCUUCCCAGGGUCCUGAGAACCCAUCCACACACCUAGCCCACUACUACAACUAGCUUCUAAGCAAGCCACCUGGAGCCCCAAGAAUCAGUGCUCCAGAGUCCACUAACACCAGAGCCAGUACCUAAAAACAGGCACAUUCAUUCCACUGCUGCUACUUGGGCCUGAACACUGGCUCAGUUGGUGUCCAAGUCCCCAGCAAAACUUCACCACAACCUCAACUAAUAACUGUACUCUAAGUCACCAAAGAAAUCACAGAUACCACUGAUACUGUAUAUUGCCAAGGAAGUCACACAAAGAUCACAGUACCACAGGCAACCAAAAUCAAAGUCAAAGUAGUUUACUCAAUCAACAUACAUACAUUCCUAGGAAAAAAUUCUCCCCCACAAAAGCAAUUUCAAAAAAAAAUGAAACAAGCAACUGCUAUACUAGAUGAGCAGAUAUCAACAGAAAGACACAGGAAACAUGAAAAACAUGGAAAUACGACAUCAUCAAAGGACAAUAAGAAUUGCCCAGUAACAGAUCUCAAUCAAAAAGAAUUCCCCAAAAUGCCAGAUAAAGAAUUCAAAAUAUUGAUUUUAAAGAAGCUCAAUGAGAUGCAAGAUAAUCUGAAAACCAAUACAAAGAAACUAGAAAGUCAACUCAGGCUAUGAAUGAGAAAUUUACCAAGCAGAUAGAUAUGUUUUUAAAAGGCAGAAAUUCUGGAACUAAAACAUUUAUUGAAGAAAAUGCAAAAUACAUUCAAAAGAUUCAAUAAUAGAUUACACCAAGUAGAACACAGAAUCUCAAAACUUGAGUUGGGGUCUUUUGAAAUAAUCCAGUGAGACAAAAAUAAGGAAAAAAGAACUUUAAAAUGAACAAAGUCUUCAAGAUGUCUGGUAUUAUAUAAAACAAGCAAACUUACGAAUUAUCACUAUUCUCAAGGAGGAAGAGACAUCAAAAAGUUUAGAAAACCUAUUUAAGAAAAUAAGUGAUGAAAACUUCCCAAGUCUAUCAAGACAUUUAGACAUCCAGAUCCAGGAAGCCCAAUGAUCUCCAGGUAAAUACACUGCACAAAGACUUCAUCGUGGCAUAUUAUAUUUAGAAUGUCUAAAGUCAAAGUGAAAGAAAUAAUUUUAAAAUUAGCAAGAGAAAAAUGUCUAGUUUCCUAUAAAGGAAACACCAUCACGCUAACAAUGGAUUUUUCAGCAGAAACCUUACAGGCCAAAAGAGAAUGAGAUUGCAUUUUCAAAGUACUGAAAUGAAAAAAUAAAAUAAAAUAAAUAACUGUCAGCCAAGAAUUUUAUAUCCUGCCAGAAUAAGCUUCAUAAAUGAAGGAGACAUAUAGGCUUUCCUAGACAAGCAAACCUUGAGGGAAUUUGUCACCACUAGACCCAUUCUACAGGAAAUGUCCAAAGGGAUCUUAAGUAUGGAAACAAAUAUUCACCAUCACAAAACACAUGGAACUGUAAAAUGCACUGUUCUUAUAAAACAAUCACAUGAAGGAGGAAAGGAAAGGAAUCAAAUGACAACAUGAUAGAAUUUCAUCCAACCACAAGGACAACAAGACAGAGAAAAAGAGAGAAAUACACUUUUAAAAUAACUAAAAACAAUUAACAAUAUGACAGGAUCAGAGCAAUGUUAACCUCACAUAUCAAUGUUAACCUUGAAUAUAAAUAGAUUAAAUGUUCCACUUAAAAGACACUGAUUGGCAGAAUGGACAAAAAG